AACGAACGCUGGCGGCAUGCCUAACACAUGCAAGUCGAACGAGACCUUCGGGUGUAGUGGCGCACGGGUGCGUAACGCGUGGGAACCUUCCCUUAGGUUCGGAAUAACUCCCCGAAAGGGGUGCUAAUACCGGAUAAUGUCUUCGGACCAAAGAUUUAUCGCCUUUGGAUGGGCCCGCGUUGGAUUAGCUAGUUGGUAGUGUAAAAGCCUACCAAGGCGACGAUCCAUAGCUGGUCUGAGAGGAUGAUCAGCCACACUGGGACUGAGACACGGCCCAGACUCCUACGGGAGGCAGCAGUGGGGAAUAUUGGACAAUGGGCGAAAGCCUGAUCCAGCAAUGCCGCGUGAGUGAUGAAGGCCUUAGGGUUGUAAAGCUCUUUUACCCGGGAUGAUAAUGACAGUACCGGGAGAAUAAGCUCCGGCUAACUCCGUG
rnacentral:rRNA from 1 species